CGGUUCCUACGGGAGGCAGCAGUGGGGGAUAUUGGGCAAUGGGCGCAAGCCUGACCCAACAACGCCGCGUGAAGGAAGAAGGCUUUCGGGUUGUAAACUUCUUUUAUGAGGGACGAAAGAAAUGACGGUACCUCAUGAAUAAGCCACGGCUAACUACGUGCCAGCAGCCGCGGUAAUACGUAGGUGGCAAGCGUUAUCCGGAUUUACUGGGUGUAAAGGGCGUGUAGGCGG
rnacentral:rRNA from 1 species